rnacentral:rRNA from 1 species
CCCUUAGAUGUCCGGGGCCGCACGCGCGCUACACUGAAGGAAUCAGCGUGGCUUUCUCCCUGACCCGAAAGGGUUGGGAAACCCGUUGAAUCUCCUUCGUGAUAGGGAUUGGGGCUUGAAAUUGUUUCCCAUGAACGAGGAAUUCCCAGUAAGCGCGAGUCAUAAGCUCGCGUUGAUUACGUCCCUGCCCUUUGUACACACCGCCCGUCGCUACUACCGAUUGAACGGUUUAGUGAGGGCCUCGGAUUGGUCUCGGCCCGCUCUUUACCGGGCGGCGCCGUUGGUCGAGAAGACGCUCGAACUUGAUCGUUUAGAGGAAGUAAAAGUCGUAACA